GAAAAAAGAACAAGCAGUUGCAGCAAUAGAUGCCCUCCAUGGAAAGCAUAAGAUGGAGGGUGCUACUGUCCCUUUGGUAGUCAAGUGGGCAGAUACUGAAAAGGAAAGGCAGGCCCGGAGGGCUCAGAAAUCUCUAUCUCAUGCUUCCGACUCUAGACAGCAUCCCUCUUUGUUUGGAGCCCUACCUAUGGGUUACAUGCCACCAUACAAUGGCUAUGGCUAUCAGG
rnacentral:misc_RNA from 1 species